CGGGUGAGUAUCGCGUAUGCAACCUACCUCUUACUGGAGGAUAGCCCAAGGAAACUCGGAUUAAUACUCCAUAAUAUCCUGAAUUCACAUGUUUUCAGGAUUAAAGCUCCGGCGGUAAGGGAUGGGCAUGCGUGCCAUUAGCUUGUUGGUGAGGUAACGGCUCACCAAGGCAGCGAUGGCUAGGGGGCCUGAGAGGGUAAUCCCCCCACACUGGUACUGAGACACGGACCAG
rnacentral:rRNA from 1 species